rnacentral:rRNA from 1 species
UGAGCAAUCUGCCCUUCACAUCGGAAUAACCAUUGGAAACGAUGGCUAAUACCGAAUAUGACUUCGGAUCGCAUGAUCUGAAGUGGAAAGCUCCGGCGGUGAAGGAUGAGCUCGCGGCCUAUCAGCUUGUUGGUGAGGUAAUAGCUCACCAAGGCGAUGGACGGGUAGCCGGCCUGAGAGGGUGACCCGGCCACACGUGGGACUGAGACACGGNUCACG